UUUUAUGGAGAGUUUGAUCCUGGCUCAGGAUGAACGCUGGCGGCGUGCCUAAUACAUGCAAGUCGAGCGAACGGACGAGAAGCUUGCUUCUCUGAUGUUAGCGGCGGACGGGUGAGUAACACGUGGAUAACCUACCUAUAAGACUGGGAUAACUUCGGGAAACCGGAGCUAAUACCGGAUAAUAUUUUGAACCGCAUGGUUCAAAAGUGAAAGACGGUCUUGCUGUCACUUAUAGAUGGAUCCGCGCUGCAUUAGCUAGUUGGUAAGGUAACGGCUUACCAAGGCAACGAUGCAUAGCCGACCUGAGAGGGUGAUCGGCCACACUGGAACUGAGACACGGUCCAGACUCCUACGGGAGGCAGCAGUAGGGAAUCUUCCGCAAUGGGCGAAAGCCUGACGGAGCAACGCCGCGUGAGUGAUGAAGGUCUUCGGAUCGUAAAACUCUGUUAUUAGGGAAGAACAUAUGUGUAAGUAACUGUGCACAUCUUGACGGUACCUAAUCAGAAAGCCACGGCUAACUACGUGCCAGCAGCCGCGGUAAUACGUAGGUGGCAAGCGUUAUCCGGAAUUAUUGGGCGUAAAGCGCGCGUAGGCGGUUUUUUAAGUCUGAUGUGAAAGCCCACGGCUCAACCGUGGAGGGUCAUUGGAAACUGGAAAACUUGAGUGCAGAAGAGGAAAGUGGAAUUCCAUGUGUAGCGGUGAAAUGCGCAGAGAUAUGGAGGAACACCAGUGGCGAAGGCGACUUUCUGGUCUGUAACUGACGCUGAUGUGCGAAAGCGUGGGGAUCAAACAGGAUUAGAUACCCUGGUAGUCCACGCCGUAAACGAUGAGUGCUAAGUGUUAGGGGGUUUCCGCCCCUUAGUGCUGCAGCUAACGCAUUAAGCACUCCGCCUGGGGAGUACGACCGCAAGGUUGAAACUCAAAGGAAUUGACGGGGACCCGCACAAGCGGUGGAGCAUGUGGUUUAAUUCGAAGCAACGCGAAGAACCUUACCAAAUCUUGACAUCCUUUGACAACUCUAGAGAUAGAGCCUUCCCCUUCGGGGGACAAAGUGACAGGUGGUGCAUGGUUGUCGUCAGCUCGUGUCGUGAGAUGUUGGGUUAAGUCCCGCAACGAGCGCAACCCUUAAGCUUAGUUGCCAUCAUUAAGUUGGGCACUCUAAGUUGACUGCCGGUGACAAACCGGAGGAAGGUGGGGAUGACGUCAAAUCAUCAUGCCCCUUAUGAUUUGGGCUACACACGUGCUACAAUGGACAAUACAAAGGGCAGCGAAACCGCGAGGUCAAGCAAAUCCCAUAAAGUUGUUCUCAGUUCGGAUUGUAGUCUGCAACUCGACUACAUGAAGCUGGAAUCGCUAGUAAUCGUAGAUCAGCAUGCUACGGUGAAUACGUUCCCGGGUCUUGUACACACCGCCCGUCACACCACGAGAGUUUUGUAACACCCGAAGCCGGUGGAGUAACCUUUUAGGAGCUAGCCGUCGAAGGUGGGACAAAUGAUUGGGGUGAAGUCGUAACAAGGUAGCCGUAUCGGAAGGUGCGGCUGGAUCACCUCCUUUCUAA
rnacentral:rRNA from 1 species